AUUGAACGCUGGCGGCAGGCCUAACACAUGCAAGUCGAACGAGUGGCGGACGGGUGAGUAAUGUCUGGGAAACUGCCUGAUGGAGGGGGAUAACUACUGGAACCGGUAGCUAAUACCGCAUACCAUCGGAUGUGCCCAGAUGGGAUGAGCUAGUAGGUGGGGUAACGGCUCACCUAGGCGACGAGCCCUAGCUGGUCUGAGAGGAUGACCCGCCACCUGGGAGUUGGGACACGUUCCAGACCCCGACGGGAGGCAGCAUGGGGGAUUAUUGCACAAUGGGCGCAAGCCUGAUGCAGCCAUGCCGCGUGUAUGAAGAAGGCCGUCGGGUUGUAAAGUACUUUCAGCGGGGAGGCGUUACCCGCAGAAGAAGCCCCGGCUAACUUCGUGCCAGCAGCCGAGGUAAUAC
rnacentral:rRNA from 1 species